rnacentral:rRNA from 1 species
AUACGUAGGGAGCAAGCGUUAUCCGGAUUUAUUGGGCGUAAAGCGCGCGUAGGCGGCUUGUUAAGUCAGGUGUUAAAGGCAAGGGCUCAACCCCUGUUCGCACCUGAAACUGGCAGGCUUGAGUUUGGUAGAGGAAAACGGAAUUCCCAGUGUAGCGGUGAAAUGCGCAGAUAUUGGGAAGAACACCGGUGGCGAAGGCGGUUUUCUGGGCCACAACUGACGCUGAGGUGCGAAAGCUAGGGGAGCAAACAGGAUUAGAUACCCUGGUAGUCCUAGCCGUAAACGAUGGAUACUAGGUGUGGGAGGCAUUCUCUCCGUGCCGCAGCUAACGCAUUAAGUAUCCCGCCUGGGGAGUACGGCCGCAAGGCUAAAACUCAAAUGAAUUGACGGGG